rnacentral:rRNA from 1 species
UAGCCGUAAACGAUACUCGCUAGGUGUCGGCCACGGUGCGACCGUUGUCGGUGCCGUAGGGAAGCCGUGAAGCGAGCCACCUGGGAAGUACGGCCGCAAGGCUGAAACUUAAAGGAAUUGGCGGGGGAGCCACAACAACGGGUGGAGCUUGCGGUUUAAUUGGAUUCAACGCCGGAAAUCUUACCGGGACCGACAGCAACAUGAAGGCCAGGCUGAAGACUUUGCCGGAUUAGCUGAGAGGAGGUGCAUGGCGUAGUCGUGGU